UACGUAGGGUGCAAGCGUUGUCCGGAAUUAUUGGGCGUAAAGGGCUCGUAGGCGGUCCAUCGCGUCGGGAGUGAAAAGCUGGGGCUUAACCCCAGUCCUGCCUCCGAUACGGGUGGACUAGAGGUAGGUAGGGGAGAACGGAAUUCCUGGUGUAGCGGUGAAAUGCGCAGAUAUCAGGAGGAACACCUGCGGCGAAGGCGGGUUGCUGGGCUGACACUGACGCUGAUGCGCGAAAGCCAGGGGAGCGAACGGG
rnacentral:rRNA from 1 species